rnacentral:rRNA from 1 species
AACGCGAAGAACCUUACCUGGGUUUGACAUGCACAGGACGUGCCUAGAGAUAGGUAUUCCCUUGUGGCCUGUGUGCAGGUGGUGCAUGGCUGUCGUCAGCUCGUGUCGUGAGAUGUUGGGUUAAGUCCCGCAACGAGCGCAACCCUUGUCUCAUGUUGCCAGCACGUAAUGGUGGGGACUCGUGAGAGACUGCCGGGGUCAACUCGGAGGAAGGUGGGGAUGACGUCAAGUCAUCAUGCCCCUUAUGUCCAGGGCUUCACACAUGCUACAAUGGCCGGUACAAAGGGCUGCGAUGCCGUGAGGUGGAGCGAAUCCUUGUAAAGCCGGUCUCAGUUCGGAUCGGGGUCUGCAACUCGACCCCGUGAAGUCGGAGUCGCUAGUAAUCGCAGAUCAGCAACGCUGCGGUGAAUACGUUCCCGGGCCUUGUA